CUGGGAUAUGAGAAGCCGAGGAAAGCGUGUUCCCAAAGCUAUUUGUGACCACCCCUUCCUCUUCUCCCUAACAAGGAAACCCUGCCUGUGACGAGCUGUACAAGGCCUGGCUCAGCGGCUGGCGGGACAGCAACUGGAGACUUAGGAAGAAAAACAACUUCUAAACGUGGUGUUCGUGCAAGAAAGUAUCAGAAAGUGGAAAAUCUCUGAUCCACGCCAUCUGUUUGUCUCAUCCAGUGGUGCAUUCCAAUCUCUGCAACAGAAGAUUCAUGACAACCUGCCAAUAAAAUUCCUGAGAUUGUCAAAACGCAGAAUACUUCUGAAAAAGUUUAAGAUAAGAUUCUUUCAUGUUUAAAUUCCUCAUACACACCCUUUCUCUCAGAGCACAGCUGGCUUCAGUACCAGAUUUCAGGGUCCUGGCUCUGUCUUAGAGGAGUAGAAUCAUAUUCAGCAGAUCCUGCAUAUUCCUGGAAGGGGCUUUCUGACCACAUGAUCUUCAGGGUGACACAUGGACAAGAAACAGAUCUUCUUCUUAAUCCACUAUCCUCCGUGGAGACAGACACCGUCAAGGACAAGCACCUGGAUCAUCUCCUCCCUGCAAAGAGAUACAGGCUGGUGGGAAAGCUGCUGACCAAAAAGGUCACAGGAUCCCUCCUCUCUGCAAGUGUCUCGAGGCCAAAGACAGGCUGGUGGGAAAACUCUGACCAGCAAGGCCAUAUGUUCCCCCUCCCCUACCUAAAACCCCAAAUAAAAACCCUUCCUUUUAGCUUUUCGGGGAGUUUGGGAUUUCAGCGUUAGCUGCCCUCUCUCCUUGCUCAGCGCUGUCCAAAAAUAAAAUUCC
rnacentral:lncRNA from 1 species